UACGUAGGGUGCGAGCGUUAAUCGGAAUUACUGGGCGUAAAGCGUGCGCAGGCGGCGCGUUAAGACAGGUGUGAAAGCCCCGAGCUUAACUUGGGAAUUGCGCUUGUGACUGGCGUGCUGGAGUGUGGCAGAGGGAGGUGGAAUUCCACGUGUAGCGGUGAAAUGCGUAGAGAUGUGGAGGAACACCGAUGGCGAAGGCAAUCCCCUGGACCUGUACUGACGCUCAUGCACGAAAGCGUGGGGAGCAAACAGG
rnacentral:rRNA from 1 species